AUGGCUCAGAUUGAACGCUGGCGGCAGGCCUAACACAUGCAAGUCGAGCGGUAGCACAGAGAGCUUGCUCUCGGGUGACGAGCGGCGGACGGGUGAGUAAUGUCUGGGAAACUGCCUGAUGGAGGGGGAUAACUACUGGAAACGGUAGCUAAUACCGCAUAACGUCGCAAGACCAAAGUGGGGGACCUUCGGGCCUCAUGCCAUCAGAUGUGCCCAGAUGGGAUUAGCUAGUAGGUGGGGUAACGGCUCACCUAGGCGACGAUCCCUAGCUGGUCUGAGAGGAUGACCAGCCACACUGGAACUGAGACACGGUCCAGACUCCUACGGGAGGCAGCAGUGGGGAAUAUUGCACAAUGGGCGCAAGCCUGAUGCAGCCAUGCCGCGUGUGUGAAGAAGGCCUUCGGGUUGUAAAGCACUUUCAGCGGGGAGGAAGGCGGUGAGGUUAAUAACCUUGUCGAUUGACGUUACCCGCAGAAGAAGCACCGGCUAACUCCGUGCCAGCAGCCGCGGUAAUACGGAGGGUGCAAGCGUUAAUCGGAAUUACUGGGCGUAAAGCGCACGCAGGCGGUCUGUCAAGUCGGAUGUGAAAUCCCCGGGCUCAACCUGGGAACUGCAUUCGAAACUGGCAGGCUAGAGUCUUGUAGAGGGGGGUAGAAUUCCAGGUGUAGCGGUGAAAUGCGUAGAGAUCUGGAGGAAUACCGGUGGCGAAGGCGGCCCCCUGGACAAAGACUGACGCUCAGGUGCGAAAGCGUGGGGAGCAAACAGGAUUAGAUACCCUGGUAGUCCACGCUGUAAACGAUGUCGAUUUGGAGGUUGUGCCCUUGAGGCGUGGCUUCCGGAGCUAACGCGUUAAAUCGACCGCCUGGGGAGUACGGCCGCAAGGUUAAAACUCAAAUGAAUUGACGGGGGCCCGCACAAGCGGUGGAGCAUGUGGUUUAAUUCGAUGCAACGCGAAGAACCUUACCUGGUCUUGACAUCCACAGAACUUAGCAGAGAUGCUUUGGUGCCUUCGGGAACUGUGAGACAGGUGCUGCAUGGCUGUCGUCAGCUCGUGUUGUGAAAUGUUGGGUUAAGUCCCGCAACGAGCGCAACCCUUAUCCUUUGUUGCCAGCGGUCCGGCCGGGAACUCAAAGGAGACUGCCAGUGAUAAACUGGAGGAAGGUGGGGAUGACGUCAAGUCAUCAUGGCCCUUACGACCAGGGCUACACACGUGCUACAAUGGCAUAUACAAAGAGAAGCGACCUCGCGAGAGCAAGCGGACCUCAUAAAGUAUGUCGUAGUCCGGAUUGGAGUCUGCAACUCGACUCCAUGAAGUCGGAAUCGCUAGUAAUCGUAGAUCAGAAUGCUACGGUGAAUACGUUCCCGGGCCUUGUACACACCGCCCGUCACACCAUGGGAGUGGGUUGCAAAAGAAGUAGGUAG
rnacentral:rRNA from 1 species